AAUUAGCAGAAAAAAAUGAAAAAAGUGUGAAUUUGAUAGGUAAACUUACAGGGUUUGCAUCCUAGUACCGUAACUACUACAAAAUAUUGUAGUGGUUAUGGUGUUUGGCGUAUCCCUUUUAAAGUUCAGAAGCAAUAAUUAAACAUCAUAUCUCCAAACCUUUUACGCUUAUGUAGCUAUGAUAUCAAAGAUCGCUCCCCAUUGCAAAGGGUUUGGAGAACGUUAC